ACUAAAGCCAACAAACCUUUACUUAUGGGCUGGAUAUCUUGUGUUUGAAGUCCAUUCCGUGAUGAUAUGGCAAAAUGAUUGGUGUGGAAUAUUUUUACUAAUGUGGCAUCCUUUAGAAAUCUCAAAAUUAGCUCCUUUUAUAUAGUAGAGAUAAACUAGCAUUUGCUUUUUGCUUUUUGUGUUGUGUAAAUUUAUAAAAAUUAUGUAGAAAGGGUGUUUGACCAAAAAACAAUGUAGAGAGGGUGUGAUGUGUAGCAAAUAAGGUUCUUCAGUUCAUAAAUCUCACGAAGAAAGUUCUUUAAUUUUAUUACAAUGUAAUGUUCUUGCUGCGAAAGAUAAAUAAUACCAUAUACAUAUCGCAUGUGAGCAUGACAACUUCCAAAAUAAUUUAUGUCACAUAUUAUCUUUACUUCUACUGAUUUUGAUGACCAUUUACUAUUAUGGCUUAUGAAUAUUUGUUGCUUUUGCUUUUAUAAGACUUAUGAUAUUAUUAGGAAUUUAUCGAUAAGAGAGUCGCGCCAAUCUUAUGACCCUCUGCUUCCUGCGUUGCGAGUGUAACAUCAUCCCAAAACCCAGAGCCGUGCGAGCAUUAAAACCAUACGUAAGCGAGAAAAAAAAUAUGCCUUCAUUCAUAAAAAUG
rnacentral:lncRNA from 1 species